UACGUAGGGUGCAAGCGUUAAUCGGAAUUACUGGGCGUAAAGCGUGCGCAGGCGGUUUUGUAAGUCUGACGUGAAAUCCCCGGGCUUAACCUGGGAAUUGCGCUUGAAACUAGGUUGCUAGAGUGUGGCAGAGGGGGGUGGAAUUCCACGUGUAGCAGUGAAAUGCGUAGAUAUCUGGAGGAAUACCGGUGGCGAAGGCGGCAAUCCUGGACCGACAUUGACGCUGAGGAGCGAAAGCUAGGGGAGCGAACGGG
rnacentral:rRNA from 1 species